UAUAUAUAUAUAUAUAUAGGAGAACUUUAUAUAUAUAUAUACUUUAUAUAUAUAUAUAUAUAUAUAUCUCCGGUGCUGUGAGGCAGUAACAGUAAAUGUCAAGGAAAACUCACUAAAUAUAACUCUCUCUCUCUCUCUCUCUAGUUUCAUCUGGAGGAGGGAGGAGGGGGAGAGCGGGGGGAGGAGGGGGGGUGAAUCACAGAUCCGGCAGACGGCUCUGUGGAACAACUUAGGAGGCUUUUUAACAAAGCCCCCCUCGUCCCACCGCCUGCCUGCUGUUACUGCCUGGGGGGUCGGGGGGGUCGUGAACACGUGCGGCACGCCGGGCCUCUCACAUCACCACGCUGGAGCGGAGCCUAAACCCAGAAACCCCUGGAGGUCUGGUGAAUGAAACGAGCGCACCUCAUACCCCCCCCGACCUGAGGUUGUGUGUUACAUAAAGAGUUUCCUUCAUUGGACCCAAACAGGACUGAGGGGGGACUAAAGGGGACACUCCAGAGGGGACGUCUCACCUGGAUGGGCUCCUGGGUCAGUCUCAUGGGUCCUACACAUUCCUCUGUAGCUGAAACCUGAAGAGAGACGAAGCAAACGCGUGAAUCUCCGCCCCCCCAACCACACACACACACACACACACACACACACACACACACACACACUCUUACCAUUUUACCAUUCAUGUCCAGCAUCAUGCUGGCGUUUGGCUCUGUGCGUUCUCCCUCGCCUCCUCUCACGUCUACGAGCAGGACGCCACAAACUGGCGGCUGCUCUCCUGCAGACGAGGAAUUAGCAGGCGGGUUUGCUUGAUAAUCCCACUGCAGGAGCUCUCUCUCUUUAUAUACACACACGCGUGUGUGUUUUGGAGGCCGGACCAUUGCGUCACACACAUGCUUACAGCACACAGUGAGUCAGCGGUUGGAGGAACCCUCCUCUGGACCGCCCGUUGGCGGUUUUGUGGAUCGCUCGCGGGGCACGUUGCACACGUGGGGGGUUCCUCUGCAGCCGCAGACAGAUAUCAAUGAUUAAAGGGUGAGAAGAGGUGAAGAAAGAGGAGCAACCGCAUCACGUGAUGCGAGCUGCAAACCGCUCUGCAUCACUGUGACAUCACCCGCCACGACCCACUUCCACUCAAGGCCUCUCUUUUUGUUGUUGUUUUGCGUGUAGUGAAGCGUAAAAACACUUUUUUUUUUAAAAGCAAAGAGAAUAUCUGUGGAAGCUUGAACACGCAACAGGUGUAGUUUUGUGUCUUCGCAGAGUUAAAGAGCAGGAUGUGAAAAUGUGCCCAGAUGUUGGUGACUGUUAAGUUUAAUUAAACGAGACCAAACGACUGUCAUCAGAAAUACCUCCGGUAAAAUUAAGCAGAAGCAUUUUCAUUUAAAGUUAAUGGAUUUAAAUUAAAGUAUUAUAUUGUAUAACCGGAGAGGACAAUUACAGUUAAACACCUGUUGUGUUUCUGCUUAAGGGGAAGUUGUGUAUUUAAAGUUGUGGGAGUAAAGCGGAUAGUAAAAAGUUUAAAAGUUUUUUUGGGGAUGAAGAAUUAUACGAAUGACGUCGUGCGGCUGAUCGUCAGAGAAGCUUCACGCAGGCGAUUUAUCGACACACACAGUUUACUUUGGAAUUCCUCAAACUACAGAGAAACAAUCCAAGUAUUUGGAGACAAAAUAAAUUCCUGGUGCGAACGGUGGGACAUGAAGGAGAGAACGUCCCGGUUCAGCCGGGUCCGUCCUCGACCUGCGGGGGGGAAUUAGUGGAUUCUAGGAAGUCUGAGCUGGAAGUCCGGGAUCACAGGAGGACAGAAGCGAGGUCGCGUGGUGAGAGACGCUUCACGAGGACACGAGGACACGAGGAGGUGUGUUUCUACUUGAGGACGACGAUGUGAAACGGGGCAGAAAGGACGGUGAACGGAGGGCCGAUGUGGGAGGGGAACAGAAAGGACGGCGUUGUCAUGGAGACAGUGAGAAUGCGUGGACUUGCUUGGACUUUUGGACAACUGUCUCCACUAGAAGCACGCGGAAGAAGCAGCCAGCCGCUGUGUGGAGCCUUUUCUCCUCAAUGGAUGUGGGGCCACAUAAACCGGAGAUGAUCCUGGCGAAGUGAACCUCGCACUCACACCCUAAACUUCUCCUCGGCGCUCAUUGCGUUGUUUUUGUGGAGCGCUCUGAAAGCUGCUCUGUGCAUAAAGCCCCAAUUACUCACUGUGUGCAGAUUAGGAUGCAGAUUAAACGUGUGCUCAUUGUGGAGGCACUUUAUUCUUCAGAAUGCAAUAAGCUUAACAAAGUUGGCGAAUGUUGAAGGUAUCGAAGGCGCGACGUGAGGUUAUGAAGAGGACAAGCGCGUUUACAUUACGGCUGCAGAAUAGAAAGCGCUGUUUACACUGGCGGGCCAACGUCUGAGCUGACAUCACUCUCCUCGAGACCCGACUCUUUCUUUCUAGGAAGAAACGGAGCAGCGUGGCGUUAGCGAGGCCUCCAGAGCGCCGCUAACCGCCAUGAUCGUAUGCAUCAGGGGCCACGGUUAAGCGCCAUUAUGUUACCCGCCAAGAAGCCCGAUCGAAGCCUAAAAGGAGGAGCCCCCGAACGACCUCUGACCUGCAGAAAAGACCCCGUUAAGGGAACUGUGGCACUUAGCCGCGAAUUAGCAGCUAAAUUAGCGGCCUGAAGUUACACGAGAUGCCUUGAUAUCGGACUGGAAACACCAGCUGACACCAAAAAGCCAGAAGAGAGUGCUAGAAAUGAUGAAAAGGGGACAUGAAUGCUACGUACCUGACCACUAAAGUUAGCUAAUUGGGCUAGCAAGCUGUUAGCAUUUUCACAUUUAAUGCUGUGUGUCGUAUAGUCGUAUAAAAUAAGAUUCUGUCGGAUAUCAGGUUCAACUGUAAUACGUCACAAUUCAUUAUUAAGCAAAUUCUUUGUGUAUUUAAGGGGUAAACGAUAGUUUAGAUAUAUUAUAUGUUCAUCUGUGAAAUGAUGCUAGCAGUGUGUGAGUGUUGUUUGAGCCAUCGGCCUCGUGGAACAAUGACGUGUGACAGAUGCUACUUUCACCCAUCACAACCUUUUGCAUCCAGACUAAUCGUGGUGAAUAUAAUUCUGCCUGAUUAGGGAAUUUGAUCAUCUAAAGUUAUUCCACCCAAACUACUUUGCAUUCAUAUGGUUUGGAAUCCCUGAAAUAAAUCCUGCAGCAUGUGAGUUAAGUAA